UUCUCGAUCAUCAUGCAUUAAUUAUUCUUUUAUUAUUUUUUUUCUGCAUACUACUAUUGGAGCGAUUGUAAUUGAAAGCACAACUAAAUCGUCCUCCGUUCACCCAGCCAAUCUCCAUUGUGAAAUUGGAAAGAGAAAACAGCCAAUUUUUCUCUCUUUUUCUCUUUACUUGUACAUUUUUUGAAG
rnacentral:ribozyme from 13 species